rnacentral:lncRNA from 1 species
AUUAUAACAGAUCUCCCUUCAAACAAGACAUCUCCAACCUCUCUCAAUCUGAGGAAAAAACAUCUCAGACCCCUAAGAGGGGGUGUGGACUCUCAGAAAGGAGAGCAUAGUUCCUUUGUCCUUUCCUGCUUACCUGGACCUAUUCCUUCUUCAAUCUCUUAGGCCAAAUAGAUAAAUAAGUUAAAUGACGGAUUAUUUUAGCUGGGAAGGGACAGAGAAAUCUAUAUGAAAAGGGAAAUUUUCCCCCAUAUAGACCAAGGACCAUGUAGAAGCACCAGGGAACCUAUAUCCCUCUUUCCUUCAUCCACCUUACCCAAGACUUGUUACUAAACCCUUUCAUAGAGCAGUCAGAUUCUGGUCAAGCCUCUUAAUACAAAAUAAAAGGGAUAUUUCUAGAACUGGGGUCAGAUCUCAAUAAGAGUAUCUGAGACCUUUGCCUUUGAGGCUAGACCCCAUACUGGGUCCUACCUCCAGGUCCUUUCUGAGGGAGAGGCACUGAGGGCAUCCAUAGGUGUAGCUGACAGGGUAGAUUGUCAUCAAAUCCCCCUCAACCAUUUCUCCAAGGGACACAGAGUGAUAACUGACAACCUUUUAUCAUAGGGGAGAGGGAGAGACAGCAGCCAUCCCUACAUUAGCUAAGGCUCCUUCCCUCUCACACUGUUCCUGUUCCCGAAACUGAUUCCUCCCCUCACUGAUAACCUUUGUUAUCAAUGAAGAAGAACCUUUAUUUUAACAUCAAGAAUAUCCAUUUUAACAGAACUCCAUGCAGAUUGAAACAAACUUCAUUCAUCUAUUUUAUUUAUUUAUUUGUUCAAUAAGGUCACUGGAUUUGCUUAACAUCCUUAUCACAGGAACACAAUCUAGAAAGGCUUGAAUUCUCAAUUCAGUCUGAUAGAUUUUUUUUCUCCAAGAAAGGAGAAUAUGGCAAAUGGAAGGAGGGAAGUUGCUUCUUCCUCUGCACUUGGUGGCAGGAGGGCAACUUGUUGACAUGCUUCAAUCAUCCACCAGCUUCAGCCACAGACCUGUUGGAGCCAACAAAAAGGUUCAGAACUCUUGAAAGCCAUGACCUGCUUUUUCAUGCAGAUCCUUUAAUCCAUAAGGAACCAUGUGGUGCUUGACAGAGAGUGAUUCUUCAGCAGGGAGUCGCAGUUGAAAUUAGAACUAAGCUGUAAUCACGGUAUGUCUUGGGUGUGUGAUGCAGCCUGAAAAAAAACCCCAACCCAAACAUACUCUUACUGUAUAAUGCACACCCUGGGGUGUUAUUGCUUUCAUAAAAUGUAUUUUCUAAUUGUCAAUUUACCAAAUUAUGGCCCCAUGCCUGCAACUGUACUCUUCUUAAAAGUCUAAUUUUCAUUCAAAAAUGCUUUAAAAAAAUCAUUACCUUUACUGAAGGAAGCCUCUGGAAAGAAGAAUCAAACUGGCUGUGAAUCAACCAAAGAAAACUCAGAGUAAAAGGUAGAUGGGGGAUGGUAGGAGCUGCCAUCUUGGAUUGUUCUUUCACAGUGAGUACACACUUUUUUCCCCCCAAAACUCUGGAGGGCCCAACUUUUUCUUCUUCUUUGGAAGAUGCAAAUCAAAUUACUUGAGCACUUUCUUUUUUUAAAAUUUAAAAUUUAAAUAUUUGAUUUUUCCCAGUUAUAUAUAAUACUAUUUUAAACAUAAAUUUCCCCAAAUUAUGAGAUACCUCCUCUCUCUGAGAUGGUAAACUAUUUGAUCUCGGUUAUGUAUGAUCACACAAAAUAUUUCCAUAUUGGUCAUGUUGAGAGAGAAUACUCAUAUAAAAUCAAAAGUCCCAAAUAGAAACACACACAUAAAUAAAAUAAAGUAAAUGAUAGUGUGUAUCA